CUUUGUUAGUUUGAGUCUUAGGACAAAAAAGUUGGGAUAAAAGAUAAGACGGGGGACAGGUUGGGUCUAGAGUGGAGUGGAGUGUGUGAGUAGAUAUGUCUGAGUAGGAAGGUUGGAUAUGGCCUGGUAGAGUCCUGUGAUUUGGGAUUGGAUAUGGCCUGGUAGAGUCCUGUGAUUUGGGGGAACAGGUAGGGACGGGAUCCUGCCCCAAGCCUAGAUCUCCUUUGCAGUGAAGGCAUGGGAAAUCAGAUUAGGCUGGUGUACUGGUUGAGAGAACAAAGCUACAUUUUCUGGUUUGUAGAAAAGGUGUGAAAAGGGACGUGGCGAUCUGAAUGAAAAUGGUCCUCACAGACGCACAGAGAAUGGUGUCUUUAGAGCUGUGGGCUGGUUAUAGUAGGUGUGGCUUUGUUGGAGCAAGUGUGUCACUGGGGGGUGCGCUUUGAAGCUUUAGAAGCUCAAGUCAGGCCUAGUGGCUCACUGUCUCUUCCUGCUACCUGUGGAUCCAGAUGGAGAACUCUCAGCUAUCUCUCCACUACAAUGUCUGCCUGAAUGCCACCAAACUUCCUGCCAUGGUGAUAAUGGACUAAACCUCUGAAAUGUUGUGCUGUUCCUGGAAUCCAAGAUGAACACAGAUUUUGGAUCCUGAUGGGGGUGUGAACAGGGCAUUGUAAAAGUUGACAUCGAGGUGAUUUGAUUGCUCUCAUCUUUGCUCCUUCUGUCUUGAAGAGGUUUCCCAAAGACAUCAAUACUUCCAGCCCUCCCUGGAUGAAGGGCUCCAGUUCUCCCAUUGCCCUCCCUUCCAAGGAGCCCAGAAGCUCACUAAGAAUGCUGAUACCUGAGAACCCUGAAGCCCAGCAGAGAUCGGGAUCUCCAGAGUAAAAAUUCAUCCCAGCUCCCUUCUACUGUUCAGAACGUCCUCAAGACAGUCUAAGACAGGAAGAAAAGAGUCUGUGCUAGAAGGCCUCCAGUACAGUGUAAAGCUACAAACUAUUGUGGGGAGAGAAGGGACAGCAGGAAACAUCUGCUCUUUCCUGUUAUCCAGUACACAGUAUGCCUGCCAAAAGCAACUGCAGAAGAUGGACAAGCAGUCUGGCUCUGGGAGCCACCCCCACCCCUACCUAGGAACUAUAACUUAGUCCAAUUUCUGUCCCUGUCCCUGCUCCCCUCCUCCCCUGCUCCCCUCCUCCCCUGCUUCCCUCUUCCCCUGCUCCCAUACUCCCCUGGGGUAGCCACUCUUCUCCAGGACCUCUGCUAUUCAGUACUAGCCUGUGGCUAAGCCCAGAGACUUACAGCCCACUGGGCAAAACCCUAAUGAGUUUGUGACUUUCCCUGUCCCUACCUCAUUCAACGUGACAAUUUCUUUUUCUGAUUUUCCAGAAAUAUCAACUAAGUUGAGAAGGAAGUCGAAGAGGAAGCUGUGGGUGGGAAAGGCUCUUUAUAGGUAGUGAUGAUGUUCAAAUCUACAACAAAGGUUCUUACGUUAACCUCUGACACUGAUGCUAACCAUCCUUUGUGUAGACUUAGGCCAACACAAGCCCCAAAAGAGACGGACAUGCUCCUGGCAGACCCGGAGCCAGCAGCUGCCCUGUGAACUACUGCCAGCAUCAUCCUGCUGCCCAGUGGGUGACGGAAAGUCACACCACUCCUGUUCUAGGCAAGGUGGACUCAGACUCAGGCUCCCCGCCUUGGCUGAGGUGAGACAUAGGCUCUGACUCUGGCUCUUCCUUCCCACCUGGACACCCCACGAUAAACCUGGAGGGGCAGCAUACCCUUCUAACUCCGAGCAGUGACCCUUACCCUCCUUACAAGGCUACCCGUAUGGCUGCCCAGUCAGAGCACCCCAGCCUUGGGUCUGCAUGACUGGCCCUGGCCCUGC
rnacentral:lncRNA from 1 species